CCAGACUCCUACGGGAGGCAGCAGUGGGGAAUAUUGCACAAUGGGGGGAGCCCUGAUGCAGCGACGCCGCGUGAAGGAAGAAGUAUCUCGGUAUGUAAACUUCUAUCAGCAGGGAAGAAAGAGGACGGUACCUGACUAAGAAGCCCCGGCUAACUACGUGCCAGCAGCCGCGGUAAUACGUAGGGGGCGAGCGUUAUCCGGAUUUACUGGGUGUAAAGGGAGCGUAGACGGCAAUACAAGUCGGAAGUGAAAUACCCGGGCUUAACCUGGGAACUGCUUUGGAAACUGUAUGGCUGGAGUGCUGGAGAGGUAAGCGGAAUUCCUAGUGUAGCGGUGAAAUGCGUAGAUAUUAGGAGGAACACCAGUGGCGAAGGCGGCUUACUGGACUGUAACUGACGUUGAGGCUCGAAAGCGUGGGGAGCAAACAGGAUUAGAUACCCGAGUAC
rnacentral:rRNA from 1 species